ACCAGACUCCUACGGGAGGCAGCAGUGGGGAAUAUUGCACAAUGGGGGAAACCCUGAUGCAGCAACGCCGCGUGAGUGAAGAAGUAUUUCGGUAUGUAAAGCUCUAUCAGCAGGGAAGAAAAUGACGGUACCUGAGUAAGAAGCCCCGGCUAACUACGUGCCAGCAGCCGCGGUAAUACGUAGGGGGCAAGCGUUAUCCGGAUUUACUGGGUGUAAAGGGAGCGUAGACGGCGAUACAAGUCUGAAGUGAAAGCCCGGGGCUCAACCCCGGGACUGCUUUGGAAACUGUGUUGCUGGAGUGCUGGAGAGGCAAGCGGAAUUCCUAGUGUAGCGGUGAAAUGCGUAGAUAUUAGGAGGAACACCAGUGGCGAAGGCGGCUUACUGGACUGUAACUGACGUUGAGGCUCGAAAGCGUGGGGAGCAAACAGGAUUAGAUACCCUAGUACCC
rnacentral:rRNA from 1 species